UACGUAGGGUGCGAGCGUUAAUCGGAAUUACUGGGCGUAAAGUGUGCGCAGGCGGCCGCGCAAGUCGAGUGUGAAAGCCCUGAGCUUAACUUGGGAACUGCGCUCGAAACUACGUGGCUGGAGUGUGGCAGAGGAAGGUGGAAUUCCAGGUGUAGCGGUGAAAUGCGUAGAGAUCUGGAGGAACACCGAUGGCGAAGGCAGCCUUCUGGGCCAACACUGACGCUCAUGCACGAAAGCGUGGGGAGCAAACAGG
rnacentral:rRNA from 1 species